GCGUCAAGAGCCGAGCCGUGCUGGUGCGUCCACCAUGCAGUGCACCGUGCAAAAAAAAAAAAAAAACCACCAAACACUGCAGUCCGGCCCAUCAGGAGGUUGGAAAAAAAAAAAGAGCGAGCAAAGAGUAGUUCGGAAAAUUCUCUUCUUUAAUCUAAAACUUGAGAAAGAAAAUGGUAUUGUGGUCUUGCUCUCCUUCCUCGUGGUCGGCGGCCGGAGCAGCUGUGGCCUAGUUGCCAAAAAUUUUCAAGAUUCCCCGUCACAUCAAAUCUUUCGGCACAUGCAUGAAGUAUUAAAUAUACAUGAAAACAAAAACUAUUUGCACAAUUCAUCUGUAAACCGCGAGAUAAAUCUUUUAAGUCUAGAUACUCUAUAAUUAGAUAACGUUUGUCAAAUAAAAACGAAAGUGCUACAGUGCCGUUUUUCACAAGUUUUUCCGAACUGAACAAGGCCUGUAGCCGCGCGCGCCUCCGCAAACCCUCCUCCUACUCCUCGCCCAUCCUCGCCUCCGUCCCGUCCCAGCCGCAGGGUGAUGGACUCUGCUGCCGGCGCAGGCCGCAACCGCGUCCGAAUCGCAGUCGUCGGCGACGUG
rnacentral:lncRNA from 1 species